rnacentral:lncRNA from 1 species
GUUUCCAGUCCUCUGAGUCUGAGGGAUGGUGAAGAAUUUCUGCAGGAGGGAACAGAAACAGUUCCUGCACACCAAAGUUCAACAGGUAGGCUGCAGGAACCUCCAACUCCGUACAAACAAGCAAACCAAAACCACAUUAAACACACUGGUAACACUCAUGCAUUAGUGACUUAGCAUGCAUGAAUAUCUUCUCACUGAUGAAUCCAUGUCUCUCACUAACAGCUCUUCUUUAGUCAGGCCUGAAGCUGAUGAUAUUUGAGUUUUAUCAUCCCAAAGUUUUGGUAGAUUCCAUUUUCUAUUCCCAUGAGAACAACAGUGUUGGUCUGCACACACUUUGAUACUAACCGUGUUUUUAAGCUCAUGAAUCAGACAUAUGAUCAGAGAAUUAACUCCUAACUGUUAGUAACUGAUGAAAAGAGAAAGUGAGCAUUCAUAACCUUCCUUCCUCUAAAAUCAGAGUGUUGUUUUCAGGUGAAAUCUCUCUCCCUGAACAAAGCCGGAGCUUGCUGCAGCUCUGCGCUCAUUAAUGAUGUUUUUGAAUCUCCAAACCGCACCGUCUCAGUGGUCAUUUUUCUGCCGUUGCUCGGCUCAGAGGUGAUGCAGACACAUCACAGCUGAGACCUCAGUGUUUUUAAGAUCAGUUUGAUCUUUUUUUCUGCUUUUAUUCGCUCGAAUGUGACUCCUUCCCUCACAGAGAGGCUCAGCGCCCUUCAAUUAAACCCAAACUAGUGGUCACGUGACACCUGUGAUUUCCUGCAACACUCAAAGGAAAUGAUCUCUGUCAGUCUGUCAGCCUCCCCCCUUCCUCCCCCUCUCUCAGGGGUAAGUGAUUAUGUGUUUUGCCAAUGUGUUUGUGGAGAUCUUUUGAUAUGCACAAACACAGAUUCUAAUGCGCUGUUUUUGGCUGACGGCUGAUUAGGAUGCCGGCUCAUGGCUGAGUCCACGGGGCCUCAGCUGGGUGCAGGGAACAUCGCUCAUUACACAUUUUCAAGAGAGGGGAGGGGGGCUAAUUCGCACCGCGGCGCAGCAUGCCGGUGUAGGUGUAAUCAUAUCAUUCUAAAUCACCGGUCAGUUACGCGCCGGCGAAGCCUCGGCUCAUGCCAGAGGGCCGGCUGGAGCCUGAUUAAAGCUCGACCAAAGACAAAGUGACACGUCCUUAACCUCAUCAAAGGAGACGUUAAGCAAACCAUCGCUUAGCCGUCAAGGUGCAAGGCUCACCCCGCCGAGACCCUCACCCGGGAUGGAUUUUUUCUUCCUUUCUGUAAAUUAGAGCUUUCUUCUCGGGGAGCGGCAUGCAUUUUUUAUAAGGGCAUCAUGGCGGAUGGUGGAUGGCUGCCUGGGCGUUCCCAUCACUAAUACGCCACUGUCCUCUUGAUUUAAUUAGACGUUGGGCCCUCUAUUUUCGACAAGGAAAUAUCUGCUCUAAUUAAGCGUUCGAGAAUGAACAGACAUGCGUUUCAGUGCCGGGUUAAUGUGGUCAUAAAAAAUCCAUGAUUUCUGCCCUUUGCCCUCCUUUUUUUUGGCGUUUUCUCACCGAUUCUCGCAGAAAUGGACUCCGACGUGUCCUCGCUCUCGACUCUGUGUGUUUUUGUCUUCUGAACAGGCCAAUUACUUUUUUGGGUUGCUUUAUGAUUAUUCAUGCUAGAGAGACUCCCAGCACUUAAUGGACUUAGCAGUGUUUUGUACUCUCUCUCUCUCUCUCUCUCUCUCUGGAAACAGAUAAUUGCUCCAUUGAGGAGGCGAACCUUUGCAGUCCAACCUUCGUGUUGCGGAGGAAUGAAUGCGGCGUUACAUGUAUGUAAUUUCUUUAAAGGAAGCAUUGCCUCUGUAGCCUGCAGGGAUUAGGCCCUAAUGACAGAAGUUAAUUAUAUUAAGAGUAAUUUUCAAAAACAGUUCAUGAACUGCAAAUUAUACUUAAAAUUGCUCCUUAAUGCUCUUAACUGUAAUUAAAUUUCCUAAUAUCUGCAGAAAAUGAACAGGCGGGACGGGAGCGAGGGGUUCAGGGACUUUUAGGGGGUUCAGGGGUUAACGGCCCGUGGAUGGGAUCAGAAAUGUGAUACUCGUACGCUGCAUCCUGGUUUAUUUUUUUAAGGUUUCAUAGGAGGAGAGUGUGAAAUUUAUCAAAUUCAACAAGAACACAGGUUUAAAUAUGUAGAUAUUAGUGUGGUGUUUUAGAGGAGGAUGAAAACGCUUCAACUCUUGUUUUUUAAGGUGUUAAGAUAAUAAAAUCCGACUUAAUUCACAAAAUAAACAUUAUUUAUCUGGUUUAGUGCACCCUAUAGAGAACAGCAUGUUUAAAGGUGCGGUCUGUAAUAUUUAGCAGCUUUCAUCAGACCAAACUUGGUAAAGAAAAUACAUCAUUUUAUAAAAAUAAAGAGUUUUGUUUUAGUUAAUGUAGAAAAGCUUUUCUUCCCCUUCCAUGGAGGCUACUAUCUUUCUAUGGAUGCACAAAAGGGACAAACUUGUCUCAUAUGUGUUUUUGUAUUCAGUCAGUAGCUGCAUUAAAACGAACCAGCUGGAAGACGAAAUAAUUCAAGUUUACUGACAUUUUUAUUGAAGUAAAAACUUGAGAAGUGGUAGAUCAGAUUCAUCAUGUAUCACAGGAACUUGUUGUCCUCAGAGACCACUGUUGUUUUAUCAGUAAGAGGGGGGAGUAAAGGAGCAUUUCGCUCUAAAAUCUGGACCCUAAAACCUCGUUUUUAAUCUACUUUGUCCACCUAAGUUAAUGUUUUGAUGUUUUUCUUAACAGCCUUUUUCCCAGGAUGCUUCCCGACACCUCCAAAUGUUUGCAUGUAUGUCUAAAAUGUGCUCUUCAAAUCCUUCGAUAACAGAUAUUUGGACUUCUGGCUCAUUUUAAUAUUGAUCACAUGAUCCUGUUUGAGCGUUGUUGUUUAUAAUAGGGAGUUAUUUUCUCAUAUUUGAUCUUUUUUUGCUCAGUUUUAGUCUCCACCACCUCCUCUUGGUCUAAUUUUGCUCAAUAUUUAGUUAGUUACUCCACAGUUCUGCUGAAAGCUUGUUGCUUUUUGGAUUUUGAACUGUUCUCCAUCUUUUGCAGGACCCACUAUGUGCAGCAGAGAACAGUAAGAGUGAAAAUCUAUCUAAAAUCUAUCUCCAAAAACAUGUGAAGUCAUAUUAAUCUUAUUUUUAACAUGCAAGAGUCGCAAAGUCUGCAAACAAAGGAGGACUAAAGAGAACAAAACUGAAGUUUGGACUCUUUAAAUUCAACAGAGACCCUCGAUUGGUAAUUAUAGAUGGAUAAAUAUGGAGCACAUGGCUUCAGCUCCAUCAUUUAGAGGACUGGAAGGAGUUCAGGCCACACAGUUGUAAAGUUGGAGCUAACGGAAGUAUCACUUCACUCUGCAGACGACGUCAUGCCUGUCGCCUCUCUUGCACUCGCCCAUAAUAACACAGCAGUGCUAGAUUCAGGAACGAGCACACGAGCAGCCUCGCCGUCGCUUUCGCCACUUUUCAGAAUUAGUCCUGAUGAUUUUUCUCUCCUUUUCUAGCCGGUGAGACCUCGACACGUAAAGUGAAAAGUGCUUGAGCUGCUGUAAUCCUCCAAACGCUUGACGCCGGGCAUUUUCUGAGCUCUACAGGAGGUGGAGGGAAAAGCAGGAGAAUUAUGCAUUUGUCUGCCUGUAAUUAGGUGUAUUUCUUCCCUGAGUUUUUAUUCAAUGAUUGGCUUUCUACAGCGAGGGCCAGUACUUUUGAAGUGUAAUGCUUCUCCUCUCAGGCGACUUAAAAGUUACAGGGGGAAAACGCGGGUGAAAAAAAGGAACUGCAGUCAUUCUGCGGCUUUGAAGGAGCUUUAAUCUGAACAAAAUUUAGGUUGGCCUUGGUUUUUCUGACAUCAAAGACUCACGAGAGCGUAUUAUUCAAUCAGAAGUGGUAUGUUAAACCAUAAAUGCCAUUGUUCAAGUACUUACAGGAGGGGUUUCACCUCAGAGAGAGAGGCAUGGAAGCUUUCCGAGUCAUGCCAUUUGUGCAACUGUGCAUAUUAAAUCUACUUGGAAUUUCUGUGGCAGGGACUGUAUGUUCAGUGUGGUUGAAGUGCAUGUGUAUGUGAGUGCAAAGGGGGGUCUUUUUCUCCCUCUAACACACUCGCAUGCAAAACUAUGCGAGCACAAAAACACACACUCUCAGUGUCUUCCAUCUCUGCUGUGAAGCCAGACCCCCCUCGGCUUUUCUCACUUGUAAUCAUGUCCAAAUUUGCACAGGAAGGCAGGGGGAAGGGGAGAGCCAUGUCAACUUGUGUGGGUGUUUUCUGUUUUUUUAUUACAUACAAAACCCGCUUCUGAUUACCGCCGAUCUCUCCGACACCCCAGAUCCAAAUCACCUUCUGAAGCUGUUCAAACGCCAGAGCUCCAAACAUUUCUGCUCUCUCUCUGUCCUUUUUUCAACUAAAAGUGAAAUUUGGCUCAGGGACGUAGAAACUCUACCGCCGCCAAGUAACAAGGAGGUAAAAUAGAAACGUAAAGAACACGGAGAGGAGUAGCAGGAGUGCAGCAGAACCUGCCAGGUUUAAGGUGAGCGUCGAGCCGAGCAACUUUGAGGAAGUUAGAGUUGGACGUGAAGCUCAGGGAAACAUUCAGAGAAUCAAACAGUCAAUGUUUUUGACAUUCAUGCAGGAAAAAUGCAACCAAAGCUCUUGAACUACAAGUUUGUUAACCAAAUCUCAAACUGCACAUUAAGAAGUGUUAUUUUGAGAGUUUGCUGUUGCAGACUUGGACGUUGACGUUGAUAAGCUGCUGUAGCGUCUUGUCCUUCCUGCUGCAGCCAAACUGCCAAAAGAAAUGUGAACUUAAUGUCAACGUUUGAGCGAAGCAUGCAGGUGCAGCCAAGAACAAUUACUCAUAACUUUACGUGUGCAGGACCAGGAAACACUAAUGCACCUGAGAAUAACCAGACUGAUCUCUGAAUAACUGCUCCCUUUUUUUGUUGCAUGCAUAUGUUGUCCUGUGUGAUAGUGUUAUCUUGUACAGUCACUACAGUAAAUGCUGUAUUUGACAGAAGAAGCUCUCUGAAACUCUCAGACCACACUGGUGCAGCAUUUGUUUCACGAUAACUGUAAAAGUCAAGAUUAUAAAGUACGUUUCAUUGCAUGUUUUUGAAGAUACUGCCAAGAAUCGAUUUGCAAUGUUAGUGCAAACUGAAGAAGCAUUCUUUUUUUUAACAUGUACAAAAUCCUGAUUCCUCGACUUUCAAAUUUAAAUCUGCUUUUUCUGCACCGUUAGUUAGUAUUCCCAUUUGCAUCCUCUCCUUACAUUAACUUCUCUGCAUGUUUUUGUUUAAUUCAAAAUAUAGGAUAAAUGUGACAGAAAAUAGAUUUAAAUAGAUGUUAGAUCCCAGGAUAGUUUAAAAAUCAUGUUUUAUAAUCUGUAGAAAUAAUCAAGAGAAGCCAGGUGCAGCUCCAACCUUCCUGAUUAAAGUGUCUUUUAUUAACGUCCAAAGACCUUUGAGUCAAACUGUCCGAACUCUGAUAUUUGGGGAAACGUGCACACACACACUGCAGCUCGUCCAUCGUUAAAAUUUCUGUUAUAGUUCCAUUGUUCGUUAUUAACCAAAUGCACCACUUGAACUGUUGGAUUAUCUGUUUUAUCUCCGUUUCUUGGCCCCUCUUCUCAUCUCUGUGGACCAAUUACAGAAGCAUUGUUCUUUCUAAAUGAUUAAUCACUUUGUAUUGAGCCGCUUUGGCAGGAUUUGUUCUUUUAAAACACGAGACCUGAGCUGAUAAUUGAAAUUUCCUCUGUAAUUUCUCGUCUUUAUUACCUGCAGAAAUUUGGCACGGGCCCUGACUCGAACUGCCAGAGCAGCGUUCAGUACCUGUGUGUGUUUAUUUGUCUCUGAAUUCUCCGAUUCGGAUGUAAAUGUUUCAUUCGUCUGUGUCAUCUCAUCAGAUUUUCUUGUUCUUGUUAGGGUCGACAUGUUCUUGGCGUCUCCCUGCACUUCUUCAUUCAUGCCGUGUGCGCUCUCGGGCAGCUUGGAGGAGUUAGUGGCACUCUGUAAGUGUGUGUUAAUGCGCGUGAGUGUGUGUGUGUGUGUGCGAGCCCACCUUGGCAGUGGCACUAGCUAUCAGCAGGGCCCAGCCGGCGUGCUAGCAGUGAGAGCGUAGUGUUUGUAACAAAGCCGCUCUGACUGUAACUGUUCACAUUUGUCCCUCAGGCGAAGCGAGGUGGAACCUUCCAGAAAAAAGGAGGCUCUAAAUGGCUCCGUGGAGGGCGGCGACGACGGGUGAGCCCGCCGCCAUGUGUGCUGAGGAAGUCUGCACGCCACUCGGACCCUGCACACAACAGGCAGCCAGGACGUCUGGCCAACGUGUCACACGAGACAGUGAGAUGGAGGAAGACUUCGCUUCGCCUCUUUCUCAAUUACAGUUUAUCUCCCUCAGUUCGAAAACACAAUAAGAGGCUCGGAGUUCAGCUUUCCUUUAGACUCCUCUGUCUGUUCGUCUCUGCGGCCUGCUGAUUGGCUGAUGAAAUUUAAGGUUGUGUAAAACGUAGAGGUGGUCUCAGUGACCUCAUAGCGUAUGAAGAGGUGUGAUGAAGCCGAGAGUCCUUUUUGGACUUUUAACUCAUAAAUGCACAACAGAGGAGAGAGAAGUCAAAGAGACGUCAGGCAACGAUAUCUCCUCAUGUCUGCAG